GGCCUGAGCGCGGCCGAUCCGGCUUGUAUUUCCGCACCCCAUACUUGCCGAGAAAACAACUAGGAACCAGUCAUAUAACGCAUUCUGCGUUAAAGCCAUCACACGGUGUGCAUCGAACACGGGGUGGAAUGUUGGAAGGUUGCACGAGUAAAAGGAGGCCAUGUAAGUCCACUGUUUUGUCUGCGAUUUUAAUUGGUCUAUAAUGUACACAUAGUAAACAGCGCUAAAACCACUCACGCAAGGAAGGGCACUGAGCAGUCUAAAAGAGGCGGAAAGUUUCUUUUUCUUUAGAUCAGUGUCGACUUCGAGUGCACAGGGUUUUCCGUUGAUGGACAGGCAUACUUGAAAGGUCUUAAAAUCUAACAUACAAUAACAAGUCACUGUUUUUCUACUGCUAGAGAACCUCAUAUUCACGCCAACAAGUGUUGGCCAAGUCAGUAAUCAAGGAAGGAAAAAAAAACGUUUGCAAUAAAUACUGCUCCAGAAACAAGAAAAAAAAAUAUGAAGGAUUCCACAGAAUACUUUGUGUCGCAACUCCACCGGUCAGUUAGAGAAAACAUGCAAACUUGAAGGGGAAAGAAGAAAAAAAAAAUGGUCUGUGGAAUAUGGAAGAUCCCGGCGAAAA